UCUCGCUAUCAUAAGUAACUGUCGGAAGUUUUCUUUUUGACGGUUAUCAUCAUCAUCUUCCUCACGAUCAAAGUCUCUCUGCUUCUCUCUCUCUCUCUUUUUCUGUUCUCGCUUUGAAGAAAUGGCACGUACGAAGCAAACUGCUAGGAAAUCCACCGGUGGAAAAGGUCCAAGGAAGCAACUCGCUACCAAGGCGGCGAGGAAAACUCCUCGUAGACCGUACAACGGUGGUAUCAAGAAGGCUCACCGUUUCCGUCCCGGAACCGUCGCCCUUCGGUGAGUUUCUGUUUUCUACUCUUCUUCGAUAAAUCAUUUCAUUCCAUGUUGAAAACGUACUGCCUUUCCAGCGUCUUGUUCGUGAAAUCGCCCAAGAUCAUAAGGUUGAUCUGAGGUUCCAAAGCCAUGCUAUACUCGCACUCCAAGAGGCAGCUGAAGCAUACUUGGUGGGUUUGUUCGAAGACACCAAUCUCUGUGCACUUCACGCUAAAAGGGUCACCAUCAUGCCCAAAGACAUUCAACUGGCCAGACGCAUUCGUGGCGAACGUGCUUGAGUCAUCUUGAUGAUCUUGGAGACUUCUCUACUAAAUAUUGUAUGUGUUUGUUUUCGUUUGUCCUUUGAUGGGAGGAGAUAGAAUCAUGUAAAUAGUGUGGGAUUCGUACUCUGUUAUAACCCUUUGGUGUGUUUCUUUUCUUUCUAUCGUUGAUUCUUUAGGACUUCUCAUUUGCGUCCUGUUGUUAAAACA